rnacentral:rRNA from 1 species
CAGGAUGAACGCUAGCGGCAGGCUUAACACAUGCAAGUCGAGGGGCAGCGCGGGGCAGCAAUGUUCUGGCGGCGACCGGCGGAAGGGUGCGUAACGCGUGAGCGACAUGCCCGUUGCCCGGGGACAACCGGUGGAAACGCCGACUAAUCCCCGAUGGGACGGAGGCCCUCAUGGGUCUCCGUUGAAAGUUACGGCGGCGACGGAUUGGCUCGCGUCCGAUUAGCUUGUUGGCGGGGUAACGGCCCACCAAGGCUACGAUCGGUAGGGGUUCUGAGAGGAAGGUCCCCCACAAUGGAACUGAGACACGGUCCAUACUCCUACGGGAGGCAGCAGUGAGGAAUAUUGGUCAAUGGGCGGAAGCCUGAACCAGCCAUGCCGCGUGCGGGAAGGAGGCCCUAUGGGCUGUGAACCGCUUUUGCCUGGGGGCAAUAAGGGCGUCGUGCACGUCCGAUGAGAGUACCAGGCGAAUAAGCAUCGGCUAACUCCGUGCCAGCAGCCGCGGUAAUACGGGGGAUGCGAGCGUUAUCCGGAUUCAUUGGGUUUAAAGGGUGCGUAGGCUGUGCGUCAAGUCAGGGGUGAAAUUCCGGGGCUCAACUCCGGGGCUGCCCUUGAUACUGUCGCGCUGGAGUGCGGAUGCCGCCGGAGGAAUGAGUGGUGUAGCGGUGAAAUGCUUAGAUAUCACUCAGAACACCGAUUGCGAAGGCAUCUGGCGAAUCCGUAACUGACGCUGAGGCACGAAAGCGUGGGGAUAGAACAGGAUUAGAUACCUUGGUAUUCCACGCCGUAAACGAUGAUGGCUAACCGCCGGCGACACACUGUCGGUGGCCAAGCGAAAGCGAUAAGCCAUACGCACCUGGGGAGUACGUCGGCAACGAUGCAACUCAA